ensembl:lncRNA
GAGACAUUGAGUCUAGAUCUUUAAUUAAUAGCUGGAGAUCAAUUGCAUAAUGCCUGAGCAAAUAGACACGUGCAUUUAUUAUCUGAAAACAAGAACUCUGCAAUUAGGGUCAUAAAGAAAAUGUCAGAAAACAAGAAGCAACAAAUACCCAUUGUGGAAUUAAUAAGAGCAGUAGUUCCCCUCCAGUGGUCACUGAGUAAGCAAACAUUCUGGUUAAAUAAACUGAAAUGGAGCAUAUCUGGGCAACACACUUACGUGCUGGGUCAAAGCAGAGGUUAAAUAAAAAUUUGUUUUAAAAAGACCCAAAAGAACACAAUAUGACUCCUUACCCCAUGUACCACAUGUUGUUAAAGGAGGGAAGAGGAGCAUUGGGUACAUUCAUGAGCGUGCUGCAGGACUUUGAAGCAGAGCUGUAAGGAAAGCAGGGAGCAUUUGUGUUUACCCCCGGCUCCUAGCAACUUCCCUGCUCACAACUAAUCUUUGGCAUGGAGGAUGUAUUGGCAUUCGGCAGCCAAACACAACUCACUCCUGCCAACACCAUGGUGACGGUCUGACCCUUUCAGAAUACAUCAGCAUUAGGAUUUCAGAAGGGGCACAUUUUCAAGGUCGAUGUUUAUUUCAUGGAAAACUGCUACCUGAGGUUUCUGAGGUGCUGAUUCUUAAUUGGUCAUUACAAUAAAAACACGGAGUAAUUUCAUAUUAGACUGAUGCCUCAGCAUGUAAUCCCAAUCUAGGUCAUUUGAUGACCAAAGGAUUGUUGCAGCUUCAAAUGCAUACUUGCAUAUCUAGUACAGAGUUAGAUGCAUCCAGACACUUCAGAAUGAUUAUUAUUUCUACCUUUCUGUAAAUGACAUAAACCAAUCUCUAGUAGUUUGACUGUGGUUUGGAAGAUUUAUAUCCCUUAUUCUCACAGCUCUGUGGUGAUUAAUACAGCAGGGAUUUUGCGAGGCUAUAGAAAUGGCCCUGUGUAAUCAUGUGAGAAGGAACAAAUACUGACUCCAGGUUUCCCCAGCAGGUAAGAGCAGAAGUUAUUCACCGAGGUGAAAUAAAGGGAGUUUUGUCACUGCAAAAAAAAAAAAAAAAAAAAGACUAAUGUAAGGACAAAGGCCUACUGAGGCCGAAUGGAAUCCAGCCACACUUUGAGGUGUUAACACAAAUGACCAACCCUGAAAGCAGUCAUGCUUUAUGGAGAUUUUCCUGCAUGAUGUACUGACAGAUAUUUUUUGCACAGUUUUACAGACAACCAUUUGAAUCUCCUGUAAGUCCUUCUGCCACAUCUCCUUGCCAUUAUACACAUCUCCAUUUCCAAUAUACCUUACUAAUCCAGUAAUUAACCAUAAAAAUAAAUUACUUGUAUAGAUUAUGUAACAGUAACAAGGCAGCAUGAGUCACUUUUCUUUGUUCUCAUUCACUAGCGAGCAACAGCAUGGGCUCAUUAGGUAGGAACCAGAAGUUCAAUAUGGAGUAAAUUCAGAUCUCAAGGCUAGAUAAUUUGGUCUCCAUUUGUUUGCCUUUGUUCUCUUUUGUUUCCAGAUUAAAAGGACACCAUGUACUUUUAGUUUCUUCAGGUAAAAGAGACAUCUGGGAGCUGCUCCUCUAUUGACUGCUGACAAGCGUUGGCUUAGAGCCUACACAAUAGCUGCACAUUUUGCUUUUGCGUUUAAUUUGGAUGGACAAUUUGAGUAGUCCCAGUAAAAAUAGGAAAUGGAUCUCUCUGACAAGCAGGCAACGAGAAACUGAGUCAGUAAUCCAUUGCCACAAUCAUCCAAAAGCCUUCAUGAGCAAUCAGAGAUAUAUUGUUGAAAAGGCACAACCUCUUGCUCUGUAACCACAAAAUCAGUGUAAUGACUAGGCCCAGAUCCAUAACAAUCUGGUUAGCUUGGGUCUAAUUUGUAACUUCGUAGAAUGGCACAAAUCCUGGAUACCCGUAUCCUAUCUCACAUACAAUCCUGUGCAUACUCACAUAGUAGUAUUUAUACGCACAUUGAUAUGGCUGAACCUUCUACUGAGUGGAAGAAGGAUGAUUUAAUCCCUUGAAAGGCUUCCAAACCUUUGUGUGGGAGUGACUGUCACGUUUAUCGAUGAACACAAGACUGCGGCCUCAGGAAGACCCAGAACCUGAGGAGCUCUAAUGGGGAUUGAUACGCUGAACAUUCCCAGUAAGCCUGGUUGUGAUUUUACUCCAAUUUGUAUUUGUCUACUUUCAGAAGCUGAUAUCUCAAGAGUCACUGAGAAGCAGCCUCUUAAAGACAGCUGCUUUCAAAAUAAAAAUUCCUACCAAUAAGCAAUUACAUUCAGCUUUCAUCAGCCUUAUUGACUUCAAAUAAGUCGAUAUUUGUUUAAAAAAACAAACAGGGAGGUGCUACAGUUUCAAACAAAAUAAGAAUUUGUGUGUAGAGAUAGACCAGUUAGAUGAUUUUCAGAUUAAGCAUCAGGAUCAACUUCAGGUAAAGCUUUCAAAGGUAGCUUUGUACUUACUGAAAACGUGGUCAUCAGUUCUUAGAAAAGUUCAUCGUUAUGGUGGUAGAAAUUCCAUGUAAUUCAUUGAUGCCAUGGGGUUUCCACCACUAGGGGAGUCUAAUUUUCAGAAUUGCUUUAAUAACAACUAUCAAAAUCAGGUCACUUGAAAACAUCAUCAUUUAAUCAUCUGGAAAUUGGAGUGCCCAAAGUCAUUAGUCACACUGAAAAUGCUUGUGUUUCUAGCUGAUUUGGACCUGAGUUUGAUUAUAGAGAUUAGAGUUUGAAUACCUAAACUCCAAAUAUGAGACAUUAUCUGAGAUCAUAGGGGUGUUGUUAACUCUGAUUUCUUUUAUCUUUAUUCCAUCUGUAGUUCCAGCUCUGUAAAAUCACAGUUCUCUGAACCACAAUUACUAUACAUUUUAUGUAAAUGAAAUGGCAUUACAGUGCCAAUUGACUCGAGUCAAACUAACUAGCAAAGAAUUUAAUUAUAUCCAUUAUUAAAUGUUUGUGUUCCACAGAUCCAACUUCUUAAAAAUAACAAUGAUAAAUUUACAGAUUCCUGUAACCAUCUGUUGCACUCUCUCCAAGUCUAGCAGGGGGUGGAAAUCUUGCCGAAUUAAAAAUAUUGCUAUUUAAAGUCUUCCUUGUAUUCAUUUCCUUAGAUAUUUGAACUUAUUCAGUGGCAGAGCCAGCCUUAUGGUUUCUGUAACUUUGCUGGCUGCCGAACUUGGAGUCAUUUUAAACAACUCAGUGGAUUCUGACAGAAUUUAUUUUUUUUAAGCUAUAUCCUUCAACCACAGAUGUAAGUGGAUGAUCUUUUUUUCUUCUUCUUCAUCUUCUCCCUCUCUUUUUUAUUUCUUUUUUCUUUCCCCAAGUCUCAGAAAGCAGAAUUGCAAGGAGCUAAGAGAUGGAAGAGCUGACUUGCCAGUUUCUGGCUUCACUGCAGCCCAGAGUUGUUGCCUGGGUGAUUGUGUUCAUGGGAGGUCUUUAACUGGCAGAGCUGCCUGCUCAGUUUCACAGGCGCCACAACUACUUCAUUAUUUCAUCAAAGUUCAUUAUGUUGGGGAGGGUACCACCAAUAAAAUUAGAUUACAAUGAGCCCUUAAAGACAUAAUUCCUGGUUUUACCUUUUGCCAU